rnacentral:lncRNA from 1 species
AAUAAUACCGAUGUCCUUUUACAAAGAGACGGUUUCCUUUAUAUAGUAGGAAAUCUUUCUCGAACAAAUAAAUAAAAAUGAAUAAAUAAAAAAAAGUUACAAAGGUUUGAGGCUUCCACUCAACAAAAGGAGUCAGACGCUAAACGACAUCGUUCCUGAUUUGGGCCGCACCCUUGCUUGGGCCGCCCUUAUUACAAGGGACGUGCCCACCUGGCGUGGGGAGGUGAUGAGUCAAAUUUAACCCUACACAAUAUUGUGUGAAGUCUGUUAAUAAUAAAAAAAAAACAUGUUAAAAUAUUAGGAAAGCGUUAAAGCAACGGAUUCACGUUAUAUACAUGGAUAACAUUACAAAAGUUAUAUUAUCGUUAUAAUUUUACUUGUGAUUGCAUAUUAUUUUAAAUAUAUACAUAAUUUGACUGUAUGUGGAGCUUAAGACACAAAUAAAGUUUUUGAUUCUUGUGAUUUUAAAUAUGGUGACAUGAAUUGUGUAGUUAUAUAAUACUUUUGAAACUGUAGAUCUAAUCUUUGAUUAUCAUUAAAGAUAAACCAGAAGUUCGAAUUAGAUUAUUUUUAAUGGUAAAAAUAUAGGAGUUGUUGGAAGAGGAUUGCUAUUAAUAUUUGGAGGAAGGUUUUUAGGCUAAGGGAAUUUUGGAA